rnacentral:lncRNA from 1 species
GACUACAUAAAAUAUGUUUUCAAAAAAAUACAAAAAAUUCCACUGAUUCUUGAAGUGAAUCUAUUGUAAAAAUACUAUAAAUCAUGAUAAUUGACAACAUAAAAUAUUUCAAAAAUGUUAUAUGUGGGUAGUCUUAUUAUGCCUUAAAUAGCAUCAAAGAAAGUACAGGUUUGUGAUAAAAAAACUUAUUCAUUUAUCCACGCAAACAAUCACUUUAAAAAUUCC